rnacentral:rRNA from 1 species
AAAUUGAAGAGUUUGAUCAUGGCUCAGAUUGAACGCUGGCGGCAGGCCUAACACAUGCAAGUCGAACGGUAGCACAAAGGAGCUUGCUCCUUGGGUGACGAGUGGCGGACGGGUGAGUAAUGUCUGGGAAACUGCCCGAUGGAGGGGGAUAACUACUGGAAACGGUAGCUAAUACCGCAUAACGUCGCAAGACCAAAGUGGGGGACCUUCGGGCCUCAC